rnacentral:piRNA from 1 species
UGGGUGACUUGUUAAUAUACUCGAGUGCUA